rnacentral:rRNA from 1 species
CCUACGGGUGGCUGCAGUGAGGAAUCUUGGUCAAUGGGCGCGAGCCUGAACCAGCCAAGUAGCGUGAAGGAUGAAUGCUCUACGGGUUGUAAACUUCUUUUAUAAAGGAAUAAAGUGAGGCACGUGUGCCUUUUUGUAUGUACUGUAUGAAUAAGGAUAGGCUAAGUCUGUGCCAGCAGCCGCGGUCAUACUGAGGAUCCGAGCGUUAUCCGGAUUUAUUGGGUUUAAAGGGAGCGUAGAUGGGUUGUUAAGUCAGUUGUUAAAGUUUGCGGCUCAACCGUAAAAUUGCAAUUGAUACUGGCAGUCUUGAGUACAGUUGAGGUAGGCGGAAUUCGUGGUGUAGCGGUGAAAUGCUUAGAUAUCACGAAGAACUCCGAUGGCGAAGGCAGCUUACUAAACUGCCACUGACAUUGAUGCUCGAAAGUGUGGGUAUCAAACAGGAUUAGAUACCCGAGUAGUC